rnacentral:rRNA from 1 species
UACGUAGGGGGCAGCGUUGUCCGGAAUCAUUGGGCGUAAAGAGCGUGUAGGCGGCCUGGUAAGUCCGCUGUGAAAGUCCAGGGCUCAACCCUGGAAUGCCGGUGGAAACUGUCAGGCUCGAGUCCGGAAGAGGCGAGUGGAAUUCCUGGUGUAGCGGUGAAAUGCGCAGAUAUCAGGAGGAACACCAAUGGCGAAGGCAGCUCCGCUGGGACGGUACUGACGCUGGAGACGCGAAAGCGUGGGGAGCAAACAGG